GUCAGAACGAACGCUGGCGGCGCGUCUUAAGCAUGCAAGUCGAACGGCAAGAGGUAGCAAUACCUCCUAGAGUGGCGGACUGGUGAGUAACACGUGGGUGACAUACCCUUCAGAUGGGGAUAGCUAUUAGAAAUAGUAGAUAAUACCGAAUACGAGCACAGGGGUUAGAGAUCUGUGAGGAAAGGAGCUAAGGCUCCGCUGAAGGAAUGGCCUGCGGCCCAUUAGCUAGUUGGUGAGGUAAGAGCCCACCAAGGCGAUGAUGGGUAUCCGGCCUUAGAGGGUGAACGGACACAUUGGGACUGAGAUACGGCCCAGACUCCUACGGGAGGCAGCAGCUAAGAAUAUUCCGCAAUGGACGAAAGUCUGACGGAGCGACGCCGCGUGGAUGAAGAAGGCCGGAAGGUUGUAAAAUCCUUUUGAAACUGAAGAAUAAGCGUUGUAGGGAAUGACAGCGUGGUGACAGUAGGUUUUGAAUAAGCAACGGCUAAUUACGUGCCAGCCGCUGC
rnacentral:rRNA from 1 species